rnacentral:misc_RNA from 1 species
AAUUCUCAACUCCGAUCGAUUUGUUUCGACCUCGGAGCUUGGACUUUGGAGCGUGCUGGCGUCGGUCGGCUCCUCUCAAAUGCAUCAGCGGAAUCUAACGUUUCGGACGUCAGUGUGAUAAUCACGUUGCGCUGUCAACCGAUCCCGAAAGGCCCGCUCAUAAUGGUCUUCGGACAACUUUCAUAUCAA